UACGUAGGGUGCGAGCGUUAAUCGGAAUUACUGGGCGUAAAGCGUGCGCAGGCGGUUCGUUGUGUCGGCGGUGAAAGCCCCGGGCUUAACCUGGGAAUGGCCGUUGAAACUGGCGAACUGGAGUGUGGCAGAGGGGGGUGGAAUUCCGCGUGUAGCAGUGAAAUGCGUAGAGAUGCGGAGGAAUACCGAUGGCGAAGGCAGCCCCCUGGGAUAACACUGACGCUCAUGCACGAAAGCGUGGGGAGCAAACAGG
rnacentral:rRNA from 1 species